AUUGAACGCUGGCGGCAUGCCUUACACAUGCAAGUCGAACGGCAGCACGGGAGCAAUCCUGGUGGCGAGUGGCGAACGGGUGAGUAAAGUAUCGGAACGUGCCCAGUCGUGGGGGAUAACGUAGCGAAAGUUACGCUAAUACCGCAUACGAUCUAUGGAUGAAAGCGGGGGAUCGCAAGACCUCGCGCGAUGUGAGCGGCCGAUAGCAGAUUAGGUAGUUGGUGGGGUAAAGGCUCACCAAGCCGACGAUCUGUAGCUGGUCUGAGAGGACGACCAGCCACACUGGGACUGAGACACGGCCCAGACUCCUACGGGAGGCAGCAGUGGGGAAUUUUGGACAAUGGGCGCAAGCCUGAUCCAGCCAUGCCGCGUGCAGGAUGAAGGCCUUCGGGUUGUAAACUGCUUUUGUACGGAACGAAAAGGUUUGACUUAAUACGUUGGACUCAUGACGGUACCGUAAGAAUAAGCACCGGCUAACUACGUGCCAGCCGCCGCAGUAA
rnacentral:rRNA from 1 species